rnacentral:rRNA from 1 species
GCCCUGGCCGGUCGGUCCGCCUCGCGGCGUGUACUGCUUGGCCGGGGCUUCCCUCCUGGUGAUCCGGCAUGCCCUUCGUUGGGUGCGUCGGGGAACCAGGACUUUUACUUUGAAAAAAUUAGAGUGUUCAAAGCAGGCCUAUGCCCGAAUAUAUUAGCAUGGAAUAAUAAAAUAGGACGUGCGGUUCUAUUUUGUUGGUUUCUAGGAUCGCCGUA